UUAGUAGCCGCCAUAGCAGGGCCUUCAAAAGCUUUUACUCCCACCAUGAACCAGCGUUCUAAUCGGCUCUCUCCGGUUCGUCAUUCAGGUUCUACGUUCUAAUCCACUCAACAUUUUGGAAUUACGCAGCCAUUGGACCUACUAAUUUCCAUUGACAUUACACUGAUCGAGGACAUGAUGUUGAACAAGUAAAAGGUCUGAGAAGGAAGAUUGUGUAGGUAGAGACGAUGUUUGAGGUGGAGGGAGGAGAAAAUUACAGAAGAGGGCCCCUGUUCUUGCGAGAGCGAUCGCAUUUUGAACAUUCGCAACCUCUUCUACAGAGAAUGUUCUUACUUCUUAAGAGCAAGAGCAACGGGUAUGAAUAAAAGGCGUGGGUUGCAUUCUAGCAUUGGAUGAUAACCUAGACUUCGCCCGACAUUUGUUCUUCUGUAGCAUCUCCCUCUGCUUCAAACAUUUGUUUUCUA